rnacentral:rRNA from 1 species
GCUCCUCACCUUGUCUACUGCACCGUUUGUUGCUUCCUGGCGGGGGACUGCCCCCCGCCAGGGACUGCGUAAACCCAUGUAUGAGCAUUGAAGACCUGAAAACAAACCAAAAUCGUACAACUUUCAACAAUGGAUCUCUUGGUUCUGGCAUCGAUGAAGAACGCAGCGAAAUGCGAUAAGUAGUGUGAAUUGCAUAAUUCAGUGAAUCAUCCAAUCUUUGAACGCACAUUGCGCCCCUUGGUAUUCCAUGGGGCAUGCCUGUUCGAGCGUCAUCUGAACGAUCAAGCCCCCCGGGUGAUGUCCCGCCUCGCGCGCGGACCCCACUCCGGCUUGGUGUUGGGUGCCUGUCCCCCGCCCCUCGGCGCAAGACUCACCCCACAUGCAUUGGCAGCAGCCUCUCGGCUUCUCGCGCAGCACAUUGCGCAGCGGAGCGAGGCGAGGCGUGCGUCCAGCAAGCAACCCCCCAAGUUUGACCUCGGAUCAGGUAGGGAUACCCGCUGAACUUAAGCAUAUCAAUAAGCGGAGG